GACGAACGCUGGCGGCGUGCUUAACACAUGCAAGUCGAACGGAAAGGCCCUGCUUUUGUGGGGUGCUCGAGUGGCGAACGGGUGAGUAACACGUGAGUAACCUGCCCUUGACUUUGGGAUAACUUCAGGAAACUGGGGCUAAUACCGGAUAGGAGCUCCUGCUGCAUGGUGGGGGUUGGAAAGUUUCGGCGGUUGGGGAUGGACUCGCGGCUUAUCAGCUUGUUGGUGGGGUAGUGGCUUACCAAGGCUUUGACGGGUAGCCGGCCUGAGAGGGUGACCGGCCACAUUGGGACUGAGAUACGGCCCAGACUCCUACGGGAGGCAGCAGUGGGGAAUAUUGCACAAUGGGCGGAAGCCUGAUGCAGCAACGCCGCGUGCGGGAGGACGGCCUUCGGGUGGGAAACCGCUUUCGCCUGUGACGAAGCGUGUGUGACGGUAAUGGGUAAAGAAGCACCGGCUAACUACGU
rnacentral:rRNA from 1 species